GACGUAGGGCGCGAGCGUUGUCCGGAAUUAUUGGGCGUAAAGGGCUCGUAGGCGGUUUGUCGCGUCGGGAGUGAAAACGCCGUGCUUAACACGGCGCUUGCUUUCGAUACGGGCAGACUAGAGGUAUGCAGGGGAGAACGGAAUUCCUGGUGUAGCGGUGAAAUGCGCAGAUAUCAGGAGGAACACCGGUGGCGAAGGCGGGUCUCUGGGCCGAUACUGACGCUGAGGAGCGAAAGCGUGGGGAGCAAACAGG
rnacentral:rRNA from 1 species